CAAUAGUGUAUAUUUAAGUUGUUGCAGUUAAAAAGCUCGUAGUUGGAUUUCGGUUAAGAGCGACCGGUCCGCCGUUUGGUGUGCACUGGUUGGUUUUAACUUCCUGUAGAGGACGUGCUCUGGGUUUAACGACCUGGACUCGGAGUCUACGUGGUUACUUUGAAAAAAUUAGAGUGUUCAAAGCGGGCUUACGCUUGAAUAUUUCAGCAUGGAAUAACACUAUAGGACUCCUGUCCUAUUUCGUUGGUCUCGGGACGGGAGUAAUGAUUAAGAGGAACAGUUGGGGGCAUUCGUAUUUCAUUGUCAGAGGUGAAAUUCUUGGAUUUAUGAAAGACGAACUUCUGCGAAAGCAUUUGCCAAGGAUGUUUUCAUUAA
rnacentral:rRNA from 1 species